CUGGGAGGACCAUCUCCUAAGGCUAAAUACUCUCUAGUGACCGAUAGUGAACCAGUACCGUGAGGGAAAGGUGAAAAGCACCCCGGAAGGGGAGUGAAAUAGAACCUGAAACCGUGUGCUUACAAGUAGUCAGAGCCCGUUAAUGGGUGAUGGCGUGCCUUUUGUAGAAUGAACCGGCGAGUUACGAUUUGAUGCAAGGUUAAGCAGUAAAUGUGGAGCCGUAGCGAAAGCGAGUCUGAAUAGGGCGUUUAGUAUUUGGUCGUAGACCCGAAACCAGGUGAUCUACCCUUGGUCAGGUUGAAGUUCAGGUAACACUGAAUGGAGGACCGAACCGACUUACGUUGAAAAGUGAGCGGAUGAACUGAGGGUAGCGGAGAAAUUCCAAUCGAACCUGGAGAUAGCUGGUUCUCUCCGAAAUAGCUUUAGGGCUAGCCUCAAGUGAUGAUUAUUGGAGGUAGAGCACUGUUUGGACGAGGGGCCCCUCUCGGGUUACCGAAUUCAGACAAACUCCGAAUGCCAAUUAAUUUAACUUGGGAGUCAGAACAUGGGUGAUAAGGUCCGUGUUCGAAAGGGAAACAGCCCAGACCACCAGCUAAGGUCCCAAAAUAUAUGUUAAGUGGAAAAGGAUGUGGCGUUGCCCAGACAACUAGGAUGUUGGCUUAGAAGCAGCCAUCAUUUAAAGAGUGCGUAAUAGCUCACUAGUCGAGUGACACUGCGCCGAAAAUGUACCGGGGCUAAACAUAUUACCGAAGCUGUGGAUUGUCCUUUGGACAAUGGUAGGAGAGCGUUCUAAGGGCGUUGAAGCAUGAUCGUAAGGACAUGUGGAGCGCUUAGAAGUGAGAAUGCCGGUGUGAGUAGCGAAAGACGGGUGAGAAUCCCGUCCACCGAUUGACUAAGGUUUCCAGAGGAAGGCUCGUCCGCUCUGGGUUAGUCGGGUCCUAAGCUGAGGCCGACAGGCGUAGGCGAUGGAUAACAGGUUGAUAUUCCUGUACCACCUAUAAUCGUUUUAAUCGAUGGGGGGACGCAGUAGGAUAGGCGAAGCGUGCGAUUGGAUUGCACGUCUAAGCAGUAAGGCUGAGUAUUAGGCAAAUCCGGUACUCGUUAAGGCUGAGCUGUGAUGGGGAGAAGACAUUGAGUCUUCGAGUCGUUGAUUUCACACUGCCGAGAAAAGCCUCUAGAUAGAAAAUAGGUGCCCGUACCGCAAACCGACACAGGUAGUCAAGAUGAGAAUUCUAAGGUGAGCGAGCGAACUCUCGUUAAGGAACUCGGCAAAAUGACCCCGUAACUUCGGGAGAAGGGGUGCUCUUUAGGGUUAACGCCCAGAAGAGCCGCAGUGAAUAGGCCCAAGCGACUGUUUAUCAAAAACACAGGUCUCUGCUAAACCGUAAGGUGAUGUAUAGGGGCUGACGCCUGCCCGGUGCUGGAAGGUUAAGAGGAGUGGUUAGCUUCUGCGAAGCUACGAAUCGAAGCCCCAGUAAACGGCGGCCGUAACUAUAACGGUCCUAAGGUAGCGAAAUUCCUUGUCGGGUAAGUUCCGACCCGCACGAAAGGCGUAACGAUUUGGGCACUGUCUCAACGAGAGACUCGGUGAAAUCAUAGUACCUGUGAAGAUGCAGGUUACCCGCGACAGGACGGAAAGACCCCGUGGAGCUUUACUGUAGCCUGAUAUUGAAAUUCGGCACAGCUUGUACAGGAUAGGUAGGAGCCUUUGAAACGUGAGCGCUAGCUUACGUGGAGGCGCUGGUGGGAUACUACCCUAGCUGUGUUGGCUUUCUAACCCGCACCACUUAUCGUGGUGGGAGACAGUGUCAGGCGGGCAGUUUGACUGGGGCGGUCGCCUCCUAAAAGGUAACGGAGGCGCUCAAAGGUUCCCUCAGAAUGGUUGGAAAUCAUUCAUAGAGUGUAAAGGCAUAAGGGAGCUUGACUGCGAGACCUACAAGUCGAGCAGGGUCGAAAGACGGACUUAGUGAUCCGGUGGUUCCGCAUGGAAGGGCCAUCGCUCAACGGAUAAAAGCUACCCCGGGGAUAACAGGCUUAUCUCCCCCAAGAGUUCACAUCGACGGGGAGGUUUGGCACCUCGAUGUCGGCUCAUCGCAUCCUGGGGCUGUAGUCGGUCCCAAGGGUUGGGCUGUUCGCCCAUUAAAGCGGUACGCGAGCUGGGUUCAGAACGUCGUGAGACAGUUCGGUCCCUAUCCGUCGUGGGCGUAGGAAAUUUGAGAGGAGCUGUCCUUAGUACGAGAGGACCGGGAUGGACAUACCUCUGGUGUACCAGUUGUCGUGCCAACGGCAUAGCUGGGUAGCUAUGUGUGGACGGGAUAAGUGCUGAAAGCAUCUAAGCAUGAAGCCCCCCUCAAGAUGAGAUUUCCCAACUUCGGUUAUAAGAUCCCUCAAAGAUGAUGAGGUUAAUAGGUUCGAGGUGGAAGCAUGGUGACAUGUGGAGCUGACGAAUACUAAUCGAUCGAAGACUUAAUCAA
rnacentral:rRNA from 1 species